GCAUUGGUGAUUCAGUGGUAGAAUUCUCAUCUUUGAUGCCAGAGAGCCAGGUUCAAAUCCUAGCCAAUGCA
rnacentral:tRNA from 1 species